rnacentral:piRNA from 1 species
UGAUUAUCAUUACAAUGUGAUUUGGAGUGU